CAGUCGCCACGGGAAUACGAAGGGGGCUAGCGUUGCUCGGAAUGACUGGGCGUAAAGGGCGCGUAGGCGGAUUGUUUAGUUAGGCGUGAAAUUCCUGGGCUUAACCUGGGGACUGCGCUUAAUACAGGCAGUCUAGAGUGAGGAAGAGGGUUGUGGAAUUCCCAGUGUAGAGGUGAAAUUCGUAGAUAUUGGGAAGAACACCGGUGGCGAAGGCGGCAACCUGGUCCUUGACUGACGCUGAGGCGCGAAAGCGUGGGGAGCAAACAGGAUUAGAUACCCGCGUAGUCCCUGUCUCUUAUAA
rnacentral:rRNA from 1 species